UACAGAGGGGGCGAGCGUUGUUCGGAAUUACUGGGCGUAAAGGGUGCGUAGGCGGCCUGCUAUGUCGAACGUGAAAUCCCCGGGCUCAACCCGGGAACUGCGUCCGAAACUGGCAGGCUUGAAUCCGGGAGAGGGAUGUGGAAUUCCAGGUGUAGCGGUGAAAUGCGUAGAUAUCUGGAGGAACACCGGUGGCGAAGGCGGCAUCCUGGACCGGUAUUGACGCUGAGGCGCGAAAGCCAGGGGGAGCAAACGGG
rnacentral:rRNA from 1 species